rnacentral:lncRNA from 1 species
AUAUUAUUUUCUAUGUGUAAUUGGCAUGUACACAUGUUGUCGCUCUGCUUGAGUCAUCCAUCUCCACAUUACGAGCCUGAGACUUCCAUCACAAUAAUCUAUAUGUAUCCAGGUAGUGUCCAAUAUGUACACACAAGCUCCUCUCACAGGCCGAUCGGACUUUAUCUUGGUCUGAGUAUCAGUUCCCUUCAAUGGUACAAGUUUGGAUGCUAUUUUCUUCUAGAUGUAUAGGUUUCUGUGGGUCCCAUUGGCUGCUAUGUUUAGUGAUACGAUAGCUCAAUGUCAUGCUUGCCAAUUGUGAUGUAAAAAUGAAAAAUCGACUUGACUAUAUUUUGUACCUGUUUUAGUAAUUACAUGUUGUGAUUAUUUUCUUUCUAGAUAUGGAAAUAUUCUAAGGAUUAAGCUUUUUGAGACCUUAAGGUAUCUGAUGAUUAAUUAGCCUUUGUAAGAUUUAUGCACUCAGGUCAUACAACCUAGAUAAUUCUCUUUGGAUCUCCAUAAUUUCUAACUGAAUAUAAAUGUAUAUUGAUAGUAAAUCCCGUUUUAGUAAUUAGUUGGAUAUAAUUAUUUGACAUGUUUUAUUGAAAUGUCUGCUUAAAUCAGCGUUAGAUGCUCCCAUAAUUGAUUACUUUUUGGAUAUGAAUUAUUACUAUAAGAAGUAUUGUUCUCCGGUGUUUUUAGUUCUUACAAUAAACAAAUUAUAUUCUUUGACAUGUUCUCCAGUGUUUUCAGUUCAUAUAAUAAACAAAUUAUAUUGUUUUCCAUUAAUCAUUUCUCAUGUAGUUUUCCUCUGCAGUAUGUAUCUUUUUCUUCAUAAUUCAUCUGCUCACAAGAUUUGAUGCCUAGAAAUUUCAGCCUUCCAUGCUAAAUGCCAUUCUUUUUUUACUUGAUAAACACCAGGUAACAUUGUUGGCGCCGGUGCCCAGCUCCGUCUCGCUCUCUCUCUCUCGCACAAACGAAGGUAGAAGAAAGAGGAGACACAGGACACGGUGGUGUUUUUCCGGCACACAUACGCCUGCCGCACGAACGGCUUCUUCCUCGAGCACAAACUCGAACCCACACCCCCACACGGGCAGUACAGGAAGGGGUCUUAUACCCGGUGCACACACACCCGCACGCUCAUGCACACACGCAAGAUCACCCGGCCACUAAGCCAACUAACCAACUAGCAUGCACACACACACCCACGUCUCUCCAUGCAUGCAACGCACUAGCUAACCAUACGGCCGGAACGGCCACACGGCUCGGCCGUCUCCUUCCAUGCAUGUAGCUCUCUGCUAACAAACACAAAGUGUGCAGCUAACAACCCCUAAACGACGCAAGAUUAAGACUAUGCCUAACAAUUUCUCCCGUAGUCUUGAUAUGGCUCGUCAUCGAUCGUCGCAGCAUGGCCGUCACACCGAGCCGCCGCAGUCUCCGCCAUCGCCGUGCAGCGCCUCUGCCCGACGUUGUGACGUGCAAUCUGCUCGCCAUCGCCGGAAUGACGCUACUGCUUCCAUCGUCGUUGUCAUCACGACCGCUACCUGGCACGCUGACACCGGUCGCCACAGGCAUGGACAUGACCCGGCGCACUGACACCGGUCACCACCGUGCCUGCUUCUCCGUCUCCGGUGACAUGCCAUCGAGCACAUCUUGCCCAGCAAGACCGACAAACGAUCCACUGCCAAGCACCUCCAUUGAGAGCACGCACGGGCCGACACACGGCCCGACAACCUCGCCGCACCGCCGGCACUCAACGCCAUCACGCCGCUGGCUACGACCAGCACACCUCCGGCGAUGGUGACGAAUCCCAUGACGAGCCAUAUCAAGACUACGGGGGAAAUUGUUAGUCAUAAUCUUGAUCUUGCGUCGUUUAGGGGUUGUUAGUUGCACACUUUGUGUUUGUUAGCAGCUAGCUAUAUGCAUGGAAGGAGACGGCCGAGCCGUGUGGCCGUUCCGGCCGUAUGGUUAGCUAGUGCGUUGCAUGCAUGUAGCUAGCUGCUAACAAACACAAAGUGUGCAGCUAACAACCCCUAAACCACGCAAGAUCAAAACUAUGGCUAACAAACAUGGAGUCUGCUCAUUUGUAACAGCAUAGAGAUAGGAACGAGCAAUUCAGCUUAAGUUUGAGAAAGUGGCGGACGAAAGAGAACUGGAAUAUUGUUGCUGAGCGCUAGCUCUGGCCGCAUGAUCAUCUAUGUAUAUAGUUUUCAACAAUAAAUGUAUCUUUAUUGGUAUAGCACAAUUGGAAAUCUUACUUUCUUCUGAUCUCUUAAUUUCAAGGUGUGAGAGGGGAUUUUUUACUAAGUUUAGAAUCUGUCACAGUAAGUGUGUAUUUGCGGUAUUGAUGUACAUUUAUUAAGAAAGUUACAUUUUCCAGCAAUUGUGCU